rnacentral:rRNA from 1 species
AUUGAACGCUGGCGGCAUGCCUUACACAUGCAAGUCGAACGGUAACGCGGGGCAACCUGGCGACGAGUGGCGAACGGGUGAGUAAUGCAUCGGAACGUGCCCGGUAGUGGGGGAUAACUGCUCGAAAGAGCAGCUAAUACCGCAUACGACCUGAGGGUGAAAGGGGGGGAUCGCAAGACCUCUCGCUACCGGAGCGGCCGAUGUCGGAUUAGCUAGUUGGUGGGGUAAAAGCCCACCAAGGCAACGAUCCGGAGCUGGUCUGAGGGGACGACCAGGCACAAUGGGAAUGGGAAAGCGCCCAGACGCCAACGGGAGGCAGCAGCGGGGAAUUUUGGACAAUGGACGCCAGUCUGAUCCAGCCAUGCCGCGUGCGGGAAGAAGGCCUUCGCGUUGUAGACCGCUUUUGUCAGGGAAGAAAUCUUCUGAGUUAAUACCUCGGGAGGAUGACGGUACCUGAAGAAUAAGCACCGGCUAACUACGUGCCAGCAGCCGCCGCGGUAA